rnacentral:rRNA from 1 species
AACGAACGCUGGCGGCAUGCCUAACACAUGCAAGUCGAACGAGACCUUCGGGUCUAGUGGCGCACGGGUGCUUACCGCGUGGGAACCUGCCCUUCGGUUCGGAAUAACUCCCGGAAAGGGGUGCUAAUACCGGAUAAUAUCUUCAGACCACAGCUUGAUAGCCUUGGGAUGGGCGCGCGUUGGAUUAGCUAGUUGGUAGGGUAAUCGCCUACCAGGGCGACGAUCCCUAGCUGGUGUGAGAGGAUGAUCAGCCACACUGGGACUGAGACACGGCCCAGACUCCUACGGGAGGCAGCAGUGGUGAAUAUUGGACAAUGGGCGGAAGCCUGAUCCAGCAAUGCCGCGUGAGUGAUGAAGGUCUUAGGGUUGUAAAGCUCUUUUACCCGGGAUGAUAAUGACAGUACCGGGAGAAUAAGCGCCGGCUAACUCCGUG